UCAGAAAAAUAGGACUCUAUACCUAUACCAGCAACUCCCAAAGCUACCGUUCUUGACUAAACUAUUUUCUGUUUACCCUAUAUAUAAUGAAAUUAUAAACC
rnacentral:tRNA from 1 species